GGAUGAUUAGCAUUCAAAUGUUAGCGGUGCUCCUGGCUGCUGCUGGCUCACUGCUUUGUGUCACCAUGUCUGCUCAUGACAGUUUACGCUUCCCCUCUCGCUUUUUCUUCUCUUUCUGUGGCACGCUGUCUUCCUUAACUCCUCCUCUUUCUGUUCCUCCUCUCACUACAGCACGUCCCUCCCUUCCUUCUUCUGUGUCUCCACUGCCCUCCCGCUCUCCUCCCUUUUCUCUCCUUCCCUCUUGGCAGUGGUGCCAAAGUGGGCAGGCAGAGCGAGGCAAACGCAUCACAGGGCAGAGCAGAGGGCAAUCGGAAGGCUGGCAGAUUCGUCACGUGGACGUUUUGUGUUUUGAGCCAUCGCCGUGCGGGCGAGUUAAGACUUUGCUUUUUGGACGGGCUGUGUGUGAGCAGACGUCUCUCUGUCACUGUGCACGAACAGACGCGCUCACGCCAGUAGGAGGGGAUUGUGGGAAAGGGGUGUAGCUCUCAGAGGGUGUGCUCUACUCCUCUCGUUUCCCUUCUUCCCGCCAUCACGGCCCUCUUCUCCGCCAGUCCUCCGAGCCCAGCCCGCAGCGCACUCGCAGCCUCCAGAAAAAAAAAAGUCUUUGUGGCCGUUUGCUGCUGAAGCAGGAUGAAUGCUGUCCUUGGGGCUGAGGUAGUAGAUUGAAUAGUUGUGGGGUUUUUUAACCUCUUUGUCAGAUAACUAUACAAUCUACUGUCUUUCCCAAGGAGAUAGCUGAACCAGCCAGUCGUCCACUGUCAUCUCCUGAUGGACAACCACGCUGCUCAUUAAAAAAAAAAAGAUCUGCAUUCCGACAGAUGUAUGUAAAUUUUUUUAGCUAUAAAAAUGAAAUUUGUUUAACGCUCCGAGGGGUAAAAAUGUGACGUUUGACUCGGGUUCUGUCAGGGUGAGGUAGUAGGUUGUAUAGUUUGGUGGGUGGGACUGCACCCUGCUCAGGUGAUAACUAUACAGUCUAUUGCCUUCCCUGAGGAGCUUACUGGACAGUGGAUAUUUACCUCGACAUGUUGACUCACGUUAAAGAGCAGGAGCAUCAACGGCACCUUUGAAGGAUCAGAGUUUACCUAAUGAAAAUUUUUUUUGUGURUUGUUGUGUUUUAAAAUCUGUACAUCCCAAUAAAGUUACACCCUUGUCCAAGA